GAUGAACGCUGGCGGCGUGCCUAAUACAUGCAAGUCGAGCGAACAGACGAGGAGCUUGCUCCUCUGACGUUAGCGGAGGACGGGUGAGUAACACGUGGAUAACCUACCUAUAAGACUGGGAUAACUUCGGGAAACCGGAGCUAAUACCGGAUAAUAUAUUGAACCGCAUGGUGCAAUGGUGAAAGACGGUUUUGCUGUCACUUAUAGAUGGAUACGCGCCGCAUUAGCUAGUUGGUAAGGUAACGGCUUACCAAGGCAACGAUGCGUAGCCGACCUGAGGGGGUGGUCGGCCACACUGGAACUGAGACACGGUCCAGACUCCUACGGGAGGCAGCAGUAGGGAAUCUUCCGCAAUGGUCGAAAGCCUUACGGAGCAACGCCGCGUGAGUUAUGAAGGUCUUCGGAUCGUAAAACUCUGUUUCUAGUGAAGAACAACUGUGUAAGUAACUAUGCACGUCUUGACGGUACCUAAUCAGAAAGCCACGGCUAACUACGUG
rnacentral:rRNA from 1 species